GACUAUCAUAUGAGAAGCAACUUUGAUAUUUCCUUUAGUCUCUGCCUUCUAAUCUGUUGGUUCUGUUAUGGCUAUUAAGUAUGGACAGGUGCAGAUUGCUGUGCCUGCAACUUGGUGUUUUGUUUUGUUUUUAACGACGCCUCCCCACCAAGAAGAGUGCAAAAGCACACAGUUUGGCAAUUGUGAAUUCGCAGUUCCCUGGUUUUGAUCAAAUCAGGAGAGAUAAAAAGUGAGGGAUAUUCCUCCCUUCCCGAGCACAUCAGAAAUAUUUAGAAGCACAGCCAAAACAGAAAUGAAAGCUUUGAGGUGUGUGCAGGCAUGGAAAAGAGAAAAGCAGAAAAUGACAAUUGGUUCACAUACCCCGAGUGGAGUGUUUAGGAGCCUGAUGUUCCCCCAAAAUAUCAGAUUAUCAUCAUAUCAGGCAUGGGCAUAGGCGGGGGGGCAGCUGUCCCCCCCAAUGAAUAAAAAUAAAUAAAAAUAUAGACCUGCUUCCCCCCCCCAACAAAAGGCCUCGCUGCACCCAUGAUAUCAGGUAAUCCCAAAUUUAGGGGGGGGAGCAUCAGGAUUGGUGUUUUUUGAGGACUAUGGAUGUGGGCUAUGCAAAUUAAAUGGGACAAGCCCAAGACCUUCACAGAACUUAAGUUUCUUAUCUUUCUAGUGUUAAAGGAAACUGCUGCAAAGGUUAAGUCCACAUGCAUAUUUUUUUCUGCAGAAGUGAAAGUUUCAUUUCUCAGCUUGCAAGUCGGAGAACAGAAACCAAUAGUGCUGCAGUCUUGCUUCAUCGGUGGAAAUAGGCUAGACAUGAGACUGGAGGCGAACCAGCUGGGCUACUGGCCCCAGCCAGGAUGUGCAGCAAAAAGGGCAACAGAGUGUUGAGGAUCACAGCACAAGCCUCAAGGAGAGAGAAAGUGCUGAAGGGAAGCAUGUCUUUGUUCCUGUAACAACUGCCCAACAGACAGAAUGAAGAAGAAGCCCUGCUGGAUCAGACCAUAUGGCCAUUUAAUACAGCCUCCUCACAGCGGCCAACCAGAUGCCUAUAGAACAUAAGCACAAAAGCCCUCUCCCCAUUUCUGCUCCCUGGCAACUGAUAUUUCGAGAGACCAUAAAGAAGAGCCCUGCUUAUGGAUUGAGCCAAAGGGUCUUUGGGUUGCCAUACUUUGAAGAGAAAAAAGAGGACAUAUUUGCCAACAUCUACUUUUAACUAUUUGAGGGACGCGGGUGGUGCUGUGGGUUAAACCACAGAGCCUAGGACUUGCCGAUCAGAAGGUCAGCGGUUCG